UGCGGAGGAUCAUUAUUGAAUAAACCUGAUGUGACUGUUAGCUGGCUUUUCGAAGCAUGUGCUCGUCCGUCAUCUUUAAUCUCUCCACCUGUGCACAUUUUGUAGUCUUGGAUACCUCUCGAGGCAACUCGGAUUUUAGGAUCGCCGUGCUGUAAAAGUCAGCUUUCCUUUCAUUUCCAAGACUAUGUUUUUAUAUACACCAAAGUAUGUUUAAAGAAUGUCAUCAAUAGGAACUUGUUUCCUAUAAAAUUAUACAACUUUCAGCAACGGAUCUCUUGGCUCUCGCAUCGAUGAAGAACGCAGCGAAAUGCGAUAAGUAAUGUGAAUUGCAGAAUUCAGUGAAUCAUCGAAUCUUUGAACGCACCUUGCGCUCCUUGGUAUUCCGAGGAGCAUGCCUGUUUGAGUGUCAUUAAAUUCUCAACCUUCCAGCUUUUAUUAGCUUGGUUAGGCUUGGAUGUGGGGGUUGUGGGCUUCAUUAAUGAGGUCAGCUCUCCUUAAAUGCAUUAGCGGAACUUUUGUGGACCGUCUAUUGGUGUGAUAAUUAUCUACGCCGUGGAUGUGAAGCAGCUUUAUGAAGUUCAGCUUCUAAUCGUCCAUUGACUUGGACAAUUUUUGACAAUUUGACCUCAAAUCAGGUAGGACUACCCGCUGAACUUAAGCAUAUCAA
rnacentral:rRNA from 1 species